rnacentral:rRNA from 1 species
GACGAACGCUGGCGGCGUGCUUAACACAUGCAAGUCGAACGGAAAGGCCCUGCUUUUUUGUGGUGCUCGAGUGGCGAACGGGUGAUUAACACGUGAGUAACCUGCCCUUGACUUUGGGAUAACUUCAGGAAACUUGGUCUAAUACCGGAUAUGUGCUCCUGCUGCAUGGUGGGUGUUGGCAAGUUUCGUCGGUUGGGGAUGUACUCGCGGCUUAUCAUCUUGUUGGUGGGGUAGUGGCUUACCAAGGCUUUGACGGGUAGCCGGCCUGAGAGGGUGACCGGGCACAUUGGGACUGAGAUAGGGAGCAGACGGGUACGGGAGGCAGCAGGGGGGAAUAUGGCACAAUGGGCGGAAGCGUGAUGAAGCAACGCCGGGUGCGGGAUGAGGGCCUGCGGGUUGUAAAACGGUUUCGCUUGAGACGAAGGGUGAGUGACGGUAAUGGGUAAAGAAGCACCGGCUAACUACGUG